UACAGAGGUCUCAAGCGUUGUUCGGAUUCAUUGGGCGUAAAGGGUGCGUAGGCGGCGCGGUAAGUCGGGUGUGAAAUUUCGGAGCUUAACUCCGAAACUGCAUUCGAUACUGCCGUGCUUGAGGACUGGAGAGGAGACUGGAAUUUACGGUGUAGCAGUGAAAUGCGUAGAGAUCGUAAGGAAGACCAGUGGCGAAGGCGGGUCUCUGGACAGUUCCUGACGCUGAGGCACGAAGGCCAGGGGAGCAAACGGGAUUAGAAACCCCCGUAGUCC
rnacentral:rRNA from 1 species